rnacentral:rRNA from 1 species
GAAUUGACGGGGGCCCGCACAAGCGGUGGAGUAUGUGGUUUAAUUCGACGCAANCGCGAAGAACCUUACCAGGUCUUGACAUUGAUGGACAGAACUAGAGAUAGUUCCUCUUCUUCGGAAGCCAGAAAACAGGUGGUGCACGGUUGUCGUCAGCUCGUGUCGUGAGAUGUUGGGUUAAGUCCCGCAACGAGCGCAACCCCUAUCUUAUGUUGCCAGCACGUAAUGGUGGGAACUCAUGAGAGACUGCCGCAGACAAUGCGGAGGAAGGCGGGGAUGACGUCAAAUCAUCAUGCCCCUUAUGACCUGGGCUACACACGUACUACAAUGGGCUUUAAUAGAGGGAAGCGAAGUCGCGAGGCGGAGCAAACCCCAGAAACAAGCUCUCAGUUCGGAUCGUAGGCUGCAACUCGCCUACGUGAAGUCGGAAUCGCUAGUAAUCGCAGGUCAGCAUACUGCGGUGAAUACGUUCCCGGGCCUUGUACACACCGCCCGUCACACCACGAAAGUCGGAAGUGCCCAAAGCCGGUGGGGUAACCUUCGGGAGCCAGCCGUCUAAGGUAAAGUCGAUGAUUGGGGUGAAGUCGUAACAAGGUAGCCGUAUCGGAAGGUGCGGCUGGAUCACCU